rnacentral:rRNA from 1 species
CAGUAGCCGCGGUAAUACGUAGGUGGCAAGCGUUGUCCGGAAUUAUUGGGCGUAAAGCGCGCGCAGGCGGCCUAUCCAGUCUGUCUUAAAGGUUCGGGGCUCAACCCCGUGAUGGGAUGGAAACUAGUAGGCUAGAGUAUCGGAGAGGAAAGCGGAAUUCCUAGUGUAGCGGUGAAAUGCGUAGAUAUUAGGAAGAACACCAGUGGCGAAGGCGGCUUUCUGGACGAAAACUGACGCUGAGACGCGAAAGCCAAGGGAGCGAACGGGAUUAGAUACCCCUGUAGUCCCUGUCUCUUAUACA